rnacentral:rRNA from 1 species
AUUCCAGCUCCAAUAGCGUAUAUUAAAGUUGUUGCAGUUAAAAAGCUCGUAGUUGGAUUUCUGGGAGGGUGCCAAUGUCCGCCGAGUGCGUGCGCAGCGGCGCCCUUCCAUCCUUCUGUUAACGCCUCUUGGCAUUCAUUUGCUGGUGGCGGGCUCAGAUAUUUUACCUUGAGAAAAUUAGAGUGUUUCAGGCAGGCUAGGCCGGAAUACAUUAGCAUGGAAUAAUGGAAUAGGACUACGGUCUCUUUGUUGGUUUGAGGGACUGCAGUAAUGAUUAAUAGGGAUAGUUGGUGGCAUUAGUACUUAACUGUCAGAGGUGGAAUUCUCAGAUUUGUUAAAGACUGACUUAUGCGAAAGCGUUUGCCAAGGAUGUUUUCAUUG